CCGCCCCGAGGGGAGCUCUCGGGCUCCCUCUGGAGGAAAACCGUUAGCCGGGGCCCAGCAGUCUUGCGAGUUAACUGGCGGCUGCCGCUGCGGCUGCUGGAGCCGUCGCGGUCGCCGCCGGAGAUCGCUCUCGAGUUUGUAAGCUCCUCGGUAGGGUAGGGCGCGGCGAAGGUUGAGUGCCGCCCAGGACCGGGCGCUGAGGAGAGAGUUACGCGCCCUGGGCCUGGGCGAUGAUGCUGAGAGGAGCUCGAGCUACCGCGCGCCGGCGCCGAUAGCGGAAGCCCCUUGCCGGGACAGCAACAGAGCUGGAACCCGUAGCGAGCCUACCCGUGUCCCAUCUCCGCGGCGAUCGCGACGGCGACGGCGACGACGGCAGCGCUCCUGGUGGCAGUUGUGGCGACCCCGGAGGAGGCGGAGGAAGAAGCGACAGAGGCGGUCGCUGUCGCGGAGGGCCACCAUCCAGAAGCCGCGUUCCCCAAAGGACAAGGGAUGCCCCGAGGCUGCUGCCGCGGGUUUAGGAUCUCCUCCCCCGCAGCCUUCCCAGUCUCCAUUGCCUCAACUCCGAAAAGUUCGACGUCGGAAACCGCGGCAGCGACGGCGCAGGACAGCGAUCAUGGAACUCGAGAACUUCAUGGCCAACAAUCUGUUGCUGAAGGCCCGUCUAGGAUUUAACAAACAGACUGGUCGUAGUAAAAAAUGGAGAGAGCUCCUGAAGUUUCCCCCAGUGAGCAUGUGCACUGAAUUAAGACUUUCCAUGGAAAAGGAUUUUAGCAGUCUUUGCGACAAACAGCCAAUUGGAAGACUUCUUUUUAGACAAUUCUGUGAUACAAAACCAGAUCUAAAAAGGUGCAUUGAAUUCUUGGAUGCAGUGGCAGAGUACGAAGUUACCAUUGAAGAGGAACAAAGAGAAUUUGGACUAGCUAUCUUCAGUAGAUUCUUCAAAGAGAAGUCAGAAGUCCCCUUACCAGAGAUACCUCCAGCUAUUGUGAAAGAGUGUAAAUGGAAUCUGAAGCAGAAUUCUCCCUCUCAAAAUGUUUUCGAAGAAUGUGCUGGAAUUGUCUCUAAGUAUUUGAGUGAAACACCAUUUGAAGAAUACCAAGAAAGUACCUACUUUAAUCGAUUUUUACAAUGGAAAUGGCUAGAAAGGCGUCCAAUAACAAAGAACACAUUCAGACAAUAUAGAGUUCUAGGAAAAGGCGGAUUUGGAGAGGUUUGUGCCUGUCAAGUACGAGCUACAGGAAAAAUGUAUGCCUGCAAAAAACUAGAAAAAAAAAGAAUAAAGAAGAGGAAAGGUGAAGCCAUGGCUCUGAAUGAAAAAAGAAUCUUAGAAAAAUUGCAUAGUAGAUUUGUAGUUAGUUUAGCCUACUCUUAUGAAACCAAGGAUGCUUUGUGUUUGGUGCUAACCAUAAUGAAUGGAGGGGAUUUGAAGUACCACAUUUACAACCUGGGUGAUCCUGGCUUUGAGGAGCCGAGAGCUGUGUUCUAUGCUGCAGAGUUGUGCUGUGGCUUGGAAGAUUUACAGAGGGAAAGAAUUGUAUACAGAGACCUAAAGCCAGAGAAUAUCCUCCUUGAUGAUCAUGGACACAUCCGAAUUUCAGAUCUUGGUCUAGCUAUGGAAGUCCCAGAAGGGGAGAUGGUUCGAGGAAGAGUUGGUACUGUUGGCUACAUGGCUCCAGAAAUUAUCAAUCAUGAAAAGUAUACAUUUAGUCCUGACUGGUGGGGACUUGGCUGUCUGAUAUAUGAAAUGAUUGCGGGACAUUCUCCAUUCAGAAAAUAUAAAGAAAAAGUCAACCGGGAGGAAUUGGAAAGAAGAGUGAAGAAUGAAACUGAGGAGUACUCUGAGAGGUUUUCAGAGGAUGCCAAGUCCAUCUGCAGCAUGUUACUCAUCAAAGAUCCAAGUAAGAGGCUGGGCUGCCAGAGGGAUGGAGUCGCUGCUGUAAAGCAGCACCCAAUAUUCAAGGAUAUAAACUUCAGCAGGCUGGAAGCAAAUAUGUUAGAUCCACCUUUCAUUCCUGAUCCUCAGGCCAUUUAUUGUAGGAACGUCUUGGAUAUUGGGCAGUUCUCUGUGGUGAAAGGAGUCAACCUGGAUACCAAUGAUGAAAUCUUCUAUGCUGAAUUUGCGACAGGGUCUGUCACCAUCCCCUGGCAGAAUGAGAUGAUUGAAUCUGGAUGUUUCAAGGAUCUCAAUGAAAAUGAAGAUGAUUUGUCAUCACUUGAAAAAUACAAGAUGUGUUCCUCCAUUCUCAGACCAAAGAGACACUUCUUCCAUAGACUCUUCAGAAGAACGAAAAGUCUUCACAAUGCUGCUUGCUGUUGGUGGAAAGAUUGCUCUGAUCUACAAAGCAAUGACUCUUAGCACUGAAGCUGCUUCCUAUUUUGGUGACAAAGCAUUUUGACCUUGCUUAAAGGGCUGCCUGAACAUUGCCCACAGUGAGGAGAGGGAGCCAACAGAACACUGACCAUUCACUG